UACGAGGGGGGGCGAGCGUUUGUUCGGAAUUAUUGGGCGUAAAGGGUGCGUAGGCGGUUUGGUAAGUCUCGUGUGAAAUCUACAGGCUCAACUUGUAGUCUGCACGAGAAACUGCCGGGCUUGAGUAUGGGAGAGGUGAGUGGAAUUCCUGGUGUAGCGGUGAAAUGCGUAGAUAUCAGGAGGAACACCUGUGGCGAAAGCGGCUCACUGGACCAUAACUGACGCUGAUGCACGAAAGCUAGGGGAGCAAACAGG
rnacentral:rRNA from 1 species